UCACUUUCAACAACGGAUCUCUUGGCCCUCGCAUCGAUGAAGAACGUAGCGAAGUGCGAUAAGUAGUGUGAAUUGCAGAAUUCCGUGAAUCAUCGAAUCUUUGAACGCAAAUUGCACUCUCUGGCAACCCGGGGAGUAUGCCUGUUUGAGGGUCAGUG
rnacentral:rRNA from 1 species